CCUACGGGUGGCAGCAGUGGGGAAUAUUGCACAAUGGGGGAAACCCUGAUGCAGCGACGCCGCGUGAGUGAAGAAGUAUUUCGGUACGUAAAGCUCUAUUAGCAGGGAAGAAAAUGACGGUACCUGACUAAGAAGCCCCGGCUAACUACGUGCCAGCAGCCGCGGUAAUACGUAGGGGGCAAGCGUGAUCCGGAUUUACUGGGUGUAAAGGGAGCGUAGACGGCAGCGCAAGUCUGGAGUGAAAUGCCAGGGCUUAACCAUGGAACUGCUUGGGAAACUGUGCAGCUGGAGUGCAGGAGAGGUAAGCGGAAGUCGUGGUGUAGCGGUGAAAUGCGUAGAUAUUAGGAGGAACACCAGUGGCGAAGGCAGCUUGCUGGACUGGAACUGACGUUGAGGCUCGAAAGCGUGGGGAGCGAACAGGAUUAGAUACCCCUGUAGUC
rnacentral:rRNA from 1 species